CAGAGCACCGCCAGGUAUCUGGAAAAAAUGGACUCCUGGACUAAGCAGAAGCAUUCUAGAAGAAUACACUAUUGAAAGGAUUCAAAGCCCUGCCAGGUGCUGUGCUGAGCGCUUUCCAGAAUUAUCCUCCUGAAUCCUCACACAGCCCCGAGGGAUCAUCAUCACCUGCACAUGACAGAAGAGGACACAGAGAAGACAGUCACCUGCUUAAGGUCAUGUACUUGGAAAGUGGUGGAGCCAGGACUAGAACCCAGGUUUGUCUGGGCUCCAGGCUCCAAGCUCCAAGCUCAGGCUCUUCUCACAAGCUGUGAUCCAACCCCCAGCGGGGAGUCAGCUCGAUGAUCUGCAAGGUCUGUCCACACCAAGAACACAGCCGGGAAACUCUUUGGAGUUCCAAAAGCACCUUCGUGCCUGCCUGUCCUUUUAGUUGACUUCCCAGAAGCUGAGCUGGUGAGGUGGGCAGGGCAGAUACUGACCGACAUCUUUGUGGCCUGUGAGCGGACAAAGCCUAAAGACAUUCAGGUGGUCAUGGCCCCAAGGUCACACUCAAGUCAGCGUCGGCAUCAGAACCCAAAUGUUGGGUUCAGUCACUUUGCACAGAGCUGCCAGGGGCCAAGAUUCUGUGUUUCUCAUGGUUAGGAUCUUCCCAGCCAUCUAACUAUCUGUCUACCCAUUCACCCAUCCAAAACUAACCUACCCAAGAACCCAUCAAUACAUUGACUCCUCUACCCACCCAUCAGUUAUCCAUCCACACAUCCAUUCAUUCAUCACCAGUCAUCAUGUGCACACACAUCCAUCUCUUCCUUCCUGCUCCCCUCAUUCGAAUUGUGUAUUGAGAGCCUUGUAACUCCCUGGCCCUGAGCUGGGAGUAAGGUGAACAGUGUGCAUACCUGGAAGGAGUCACAUCUUUCCCUUUGUCAAUGGGGGUCCUGGAAGGGGCAGCUGAGGCAGGCAGUAGGCAGACUGGAGUGGGAGCUGUUGACUUGCUAUUCUUUUGGGCUCUAGGUCACAGCACCCGACUCACUGAAUUGGGCUAAAAACUUGUGGAGAAAGUGAGGAGUGAACAGUUGGGAUACAGUGUCUGUCCACAUGUUACUUAUAGACGAGAUAGCUGGCAGCGUAGGCUUCAAUAUAGAGUUUAUUUCGAGAUUUUGUGAAUGUAAGAAAUGACAUAUCUACAAGUUACUAUGUUACUAACAUAAACAAGAUUAGAAUUAAUGAACUAUAGGUACUGUAGAGUGAGGCUCCAGUAACAAUUUCUAACCUGUUUCUGUGAUUCAUCGAACCACGCAUACUGGGAAGGGAUUUAUGCACCUUUCUCGUGCAUUCUGCAUUAAUGGACAUAGGAGGUAGCAACUAAUAUGAUCAAUACUGACUGGAUCAGAACACGGGGAGAGGAAGUGAUUGCCAAGGUACAUUGUCAUCUGUGUGGCAGAGAAGUUUGUCAACCUAGGUCUUCCAACUUAUGCAUACUAGAUAAUUCUUCCUGUCCAAGAACUGAGGAAAAUUCUCAAAGUUUAUUCCUGUCUGCUUCAGAAGGUGCUUCUUUCCAUCAUAUCUGCUGAUUCUGGACUGACCUUGCCUCACGCUAAUCUGCUUUGUGUGUAGGAAGCUUUUUAUUACUCUUUGCAGAAAUUGCUUAAACUCUUGGUUUGCAAUUGCUCACUCUUCUGUUUUCAACUGCUUUCCUCUAAUCUUCCUUGCCAAAUGCCUGCUGCUAGGUAGGUAUUCACCACUCCCAGAAUACCUUCUUUCUUUUAUUAGUGGCUUAGCAACUUCCCUUCUGCUUUCUGACCCUGAGUGGAGCUGGAGCUAGAAUGGAGUAUUGUGGAUGUGAACGGGACCUGAGAUUUAGGGGAAAGAGUCCAUAUUAGUAUUGUAAUGACUCUUUCCAUAUACAUGUCCCCUGUUGUAUCACUGCCCGAGAGAAUAGCCCUCUGUCUCUCCAUUAAUGUUAUCCCAAACCCUGCACUUGGCAGGUCAUGGGCGUAGCAGGUGAGCAAGAAAUAUUUGCUGGAUGUUAAGGGUUGAAAAAAAAGACACUUCCUUAAGUGAGGAAAACCUCAUUUUUCAUAAUUAUACAAUAAAUGUAUAAUCACUGUAGAAAAUCAUAAAAGUCCAAUGUGCAAAGUGAAAACCAACCUUACCUAAAGUUUCAGCCACAGGUAGCCCCAGCUCACAGAUACAGGUAUGGAUGUAACUAUGGAUAUAGAGACAGAGACACAUGUUCACAUGUGUCACAUCUUGUCUUGUGACCUCUUUGGGAUAACAUCAUGUUCAAGACUUCAGAUGCUGUUCAAAUCUUCCAAUACGCCAUUUUUAGAGGAUCAUUGAUCUUAAUCAGUUUCUUGUUUUGUUUUCUGAUUA